GCGGGUGUGGCGGAAUGGCAGACGCGCCAGAUUUAGGUUCUGGUGGGGCAACCCGUGAAGGUUCAAGUCCUUUCACCCGCACCA
rnacentral:tRNA from 1 species